rnacentral:rRNA from 1 species
AUUGAACGCUGGCGGCAGGCUUAACACAUGCAAGUCGAGCGGGGUGAUGGUGCUUGCACUAUCACUUAGCGGCGGACGGGUGAGUAAUGCUUAGGAAUCUGCCUAUUAGUGGGGGACAACAUCUCGAAAGGGAUGCUAAUACCGCAUACGUCCUACGGGAGAAAGCAGGGGAUCACUUGUGACCUUGCGCUAAUAGAUGAGCCUAAGUCGGAUUAGCUAGUUGGUGGGGUAAAGGCCUACCAAGGCGACGAUCUGUAGCGGGUCUGAGAGGAGGCUCCGCCACACUGGGGCUGAGACACGGCCCAGACUCCUACGGGAGGCAGCAGUGGGGAAUAUUGGACAAUGGGGGGAACCCUUAUCCAGCCAUGCCGCGUGUGUGAAGAAGGCCUUAUGGUUGUAAAGCACUUUAAGCGAGGAAGAGGCUCUUUUGGUUAAUACCCAGAAUGAGUGGACGUUACUCGCAGAAUAAGCACCGGCUAACUCUGUGCCAGCCGCCGCAGUAA